rnacentral:rRNA from 1 species
UAUUAUACUAAACUAUAAUUCAUUAACUUGAAUAUUAUAAGAUAUAGUCUUUAAAUUCAAAGAAUUUGGCGGUAAUUUAGUCUUUCCAGAGGAACCUGUUUUUUAAUCGAUAAACCACGAAUAAUCUUACUUGUUAAAUUUAAAUAAAGUUUGUAUACCGUCAUUAUCAGAUAAUAUUUGAAGAUUAAUUAUUAAAUUUUAAAUAAUAAUAAAAAUUAGAUCAAGGUGCAGCUUAUAAACAAGAUAAAAUGGGUUACAAUUAAAUAAAUAUAAAAUGAAAUUUAACUUGAAACAGUUUAAGGAAGGAGGAUUUGGUUGUAAUAAAUAUUAAUAAGGAAAAAAGAUAUAAGCUCUAAAUUGU